rnacentral:misc_RNA from 1 species
GAAAUGCGAUAAGUAGUGUGAAUUGCAGAAUUCAGUGAAUCAUCGAAUCUUUGAACGCACAUUGCGCCCCUUGGUAUUCCAUGGGGCAUGCCUGUUCGAGCGUCAUUUGUACCCUCAAGCUCUGCUUGGCGUUGGGUGUUUGUCCCCGUCUCCGCGCGUGGACUCGCCCCAAAGUGAUUGGCAGCCGGCGUACUGGUCCCGGAGCGCAGCACAUGUCGCGCAAACGAGUGCCUUGGUACGGCGGCGUCCAUAAGCCCCUCUCUCACGCUCUUGACCUCGGAUCAGGUAGGGAUACCCGCUGAACUUAAGC